ensembl:lncRNA
GUGCAGAUUGUAUGUCUUCUUUAGUUAGAAGGUAGAAAUAGUGAAAUAGAAAGGAGACAAAAUCUUCUUUAAAGGUUUGGGUCCGUUGUCGUUGCGCCUGCCUCACAUCUUGUCCACCAUGCUGCUGAACAACUGGAGGAACUUCCUGCGAUCUUCCCUCAGCGCCCUCAUCUCGGUCAGGGACUCUUCGUGCCGCCUCUGGGAAGCAGCCAUCGCAGCAGCAUCAGAUCUCUCAAGGUAGGCCAAGACGUCGUCCUCCCUCGUCCGCUUCCGCAAACUCGGGGUGUCGGAGGCUCUGGUGGGGUCUCGAACUGCAGCUGGACUGGCUGUGGAAGAAGCAGGAGACAAGGAAGAGGAGCUGGUGGGCUGCGCUGGUGAGCGAGCUCUGUUGGACAUCCUCAGUGCAUUGGGACGGCGUACCACCACACCAGCACAAUCGCUCCCGACAACUGGUGGGUCCACGUCAUGGUUUCCCCCAAGCAGCUCGUCCAUCUCUUUGUAGAAUUUGAAGCGGCCAGGCCCCCUUCCUGUCGACGCAACGUUGUCCUUGACUCUCUUAUAUGCCUCCACCAGUGUGAACCACUUGCGCCCCACCUUCAACUGUUGGAAGUGCUCCCCGAACUGUUUGGCAAGCUUUCCAGCAAUCUCCUCCCACCUCCGCAGCUUCUUUGACUUCUUCCCAAACUUUAGCCGCCGGUUCAGGGCAUGGAUGGACUUUGCUGUUCCCUCACCCUUUACCUCAAGGUGGAUCCUCAUCAGGUGGAUGAGGAAGAGGGUCUGCUUUUUGGUAAAACCCUUAUUCACAGGUAGGGUAAUGCUUUUUUCACCGCAAUUCACCGGCAGUGGUGCAGUUGGCUUGAUAUUGCAGGUAUCUGAAUCAUAAAAAAUAAGAUGGCAGCACAGUACAUGCAGCACCCAGUACGCUCAUGUCUACAGUGAAGUGCUUCUUAAUAACUCACCUGUGCAAGUGCAAUCUGCAGAGUGUAUGUUGGCAGCCACCAUGCCCUGGUAAGGCAUGGUCCUGUCCUUGUCAAGGAAAGCAACCAUGCUCUGGUUGAGGAAGACUAAAAAGAAAAACACAAUGUAUGUUACAGACUGCAACUUGAGUAGUAUGCUGUGAAUGAACAACACAAAACUCUGAGGUGAAACCCACCUUACAGCAAUCUAAAACCAUCCAUCACUUCUUCAGUCUCUAUCCCACUAUGCAAAAAACACGUUAUAUUGUUUUC